UUUCCCUCGGGAUGGCUGGCAGUCUUCCAAAACCCACCCCAUGUGGUUUCAUCCAUAAAGCAAAUGAUUGGAGGUUUUAGGACCCGAAGGAUCUCCACCUACUCUCACACUUUAAAUGGGUAAGAAGCCCGGCUUGCUGGUGCGUGAAGCUGGGUAUGGAAUGCGAGUGCCUAGUGGGCCACUUCUGGUAAGCAUACUUGGCACUGUGGGAUGAACUG
rfam:Macaca mulatta chromosome 20, whole genome shotgun sequence.